UGUGGUUGAACUCUUCCGAGAUGCAGUGCUCCUGUUUCCCUUCACCGGCUGUCUGUCAGAAGACUUCCUCUUUCUUCUGCACAAAGGCUGGUCAUAGUUCAGACUUCAGCGCCCAGAAUUCUCCAGCCAACAUGACCACAGAUCAUACUGACUGAAGAAUUGUAGGAGUUAUGUAGGUGUACCUUAAAAUGUUGAUCAAUCUAUGACAAGCAUACAGUACUAAAGCUUCAAACUCCUCUGAUAUCUUUAAAAAUGGAAUACAGUUUUUCAGGUCAUAAUCUUCCAAAUAAAUUUUUGGUACAUGAUGAACUGCAUAUGUUUCCUAAGAGUUUUUUCAGAACCAGAGCCUCUCUCUAUUGCCACAGCAGUGGGCUCUAUGGCUCUUAAAUUGCCCACAGACGUAUCUUUUUCCUGGUUCUACUGAACCUCCCAUUCUAUUGUAGAUAUAAUUUGACAUCGUGACAUGGGACGAAGAAGACUCCGCCAUUUGUAUUUUCAAGGACAGAAGGUUUCAAGACUGCUGUUGUAUUACAGAAAUGAUGCACACUUCCUCAGAUAAGCACAUUUAUAGCAAAUCAUUUCCUUGGUGAAAUGUCUACAGAGCUGUGGAGCCAGUCUGGAAAGAUAUGUGCCAAGGUAUGACCAACAGGGCAAGAAACAAGCCAAGAUGGACCAUACCCAUGACAUAGGGUGUGGUGGUGAUGAUGGUGAUGGCAGUUGCAAAAUUAGAAGGUAGGAGAUUCUGGACUGUUCUGCCUGGGGAAAAUGAUUAUUUGCCUGGAAUCCUGGAAGAAGGGAUCAGAGAUUGGCAAAAUUACUUUUAUGUAGUAUAAGAACUAGAAUCUGCUAGCUACUGGCCUUGCUGGCUGGGGGAAUUCUUAGAGCUGGUAUUCAAAAAAGGAAUUUAAUGAAGCUCUGGGGAA